UCUUUCAUCCCACUCUGAUCUUUAAAACAAAGACUUUUAUUUGUCUUAGAAAUAAUUCAUAUUUUUACCUCCAGUAAAAAGUUAAGCAAAGCAUAAAAUCUUUUUUAAACUCAUUUAAAACCAGAGCAGCAGCUUUGAGCUGAGGAUUCCUCUGACCUGGAUGUGGUCACCAUGACGCCGCUGUUGUUGCUCUUUACCAGAAGUUGAUCUUUGCGGUUUCUUCUUCUGCUCCACAUGAACAUCUGAUAAAAAGGUUUUACUGGUUUCUGCUGACAGUGGAAGAAAAACUUCCUGUUAACCUGGAAUAGAACAGAAAACCUUUAAUUGUCUCUGACUGACGAAACUCAGGCAGAAGAGUAGCAGGCAGGUAAAACAUGGAUCUACAGGCAGGUAGAGAUAUUGUGUUUAUAUUAAAUAUUAAUAGAUAUAAACCAGCUCUGCUGGUUCUUUCAUUUUAAUUAAUUUUUUUCAGGUUGAAUCAAACAAUUAUUCCCUCUGGUUAUGGAUGCUGCUCAUCUGGAGGCAUUUUCACUCUUUCACUUUCUGACUGUUGUGAUCUGUAACCAUGGCAACAAGGUGUUGACCAGAGCAGCUGAUUAGCAUCUGACAUAAUUCCUGAGGAGUUGAAUAUGAAAGAGCAGAGAGAUGAUGGAUCGUUUCCCAGCAUCCUUCUAACAAACCACCAGGCAGCAGAGAAAAAUAAAAACUGUUCAGUUAUAAAAAUAACAGCAUAAAUACUAAAUCUGUGUAGAUUUACUGUUAGAUUUUCCUCUGUAAUCUGCUCCUCUAAUCUGAAUUAAUCUCAUUUCAGAGAACGAUUCAUCUGCUGUUUAUUCAUACGUCAGAAAAGGAAACAACACAGACAGAACAAAAAGGACCAAAGAUCUUCAUCCAGAGCCAGAGAUCAUCUACUCUUCCCUCCUGAUCCACCAGUG